AAAAAAGGAAGUGGAGACAACUUUUCGGCUCCUCUCUGAGCCUUUAUCAGAAUUGAUAAAGGCUCAGAGGGGAGCCGAAAAGUUGUCUCCACUUCCUUGUU